AAUAUAGACACGAAACCCUGGUUUCUUUGGAAAGCAGAGAAUGUCUCCCCUCCAGAAGCUUUGUGCUUCAAUCUGUCGGUGCACAACAGCAGAAAGUCACUGCGGAUCUCCCCUUGCCUUAGCUGUGGUAGGAAACUUCCCUUUCACAAUCAGGGAUAGAGCUCUGCCCCUGGCUGCCCAAAUUCAAGCUAACCAGCCUCUUGCCUACAGCACAAGAACUAUGUCUGCUUGGAGUUUGCAUCAGCAGAGUGGCUGAGACCAACUCAAAUGCACAGAAGCUGAUUGAUGAAGCAUGAUGCAUCCCUUAAUUAAGCAGAAGCUACUAAUAAAAAUGAACUUACUGGA